GAUGAACGCUAGCGAUAGGCUUAACACAUGCAAGUCGAGGGGCAGCACAAGGUAGCUUGCUAUCUGGGUGGCGACCGGCGCACGGGUGCGUAACGCGUAUGCAACUUGCCCUAUACAGGAGGAUAACCCGUCGAAAGACGGACUAAUACUGCGUAUGCUCACAACUUGGCAUCAAGUGGUGAGGAAAGAAAUUCGGUAUAGGAUAGGCAUGCGUCCCAUUAGCUUGUUGGUGAGGUAACGGCUCACCAAGGCAACGAUGGGUAGGGGAACUGAGAGGUUUAUCCCCCACACUGGUACUGAGACACGGACCAGACUCCUACGGGAGGCAGCAGUGAGGAAUAUUGGUCAAUGGGCGCGAGCCUGAACCAGCCAAGUCGCGUGAAGGAUGACUGUCUUAUGGAUUGUAAACUUCUUUUAUACGGGAAUAACAAGAGUCACGUGUGGCUCCCUGCAUGUACCGUAUGAAUAAGCAUCGGCUAACUCCGUG
rnacentral:rRNA from 1 species